UACGUAGGGGCCUAGCGUUGUCCGGAUUUAUUGGGCGUAAAGAGCUCGUAGGCGGUUCGGUAAGUCAGGUGUGAAAUCUCCACGCUCAACGUGGAGGCGCCACCUGAAACUGCCGUGACUAGAGUCCGGUAGGGGAGUGUGGAAUUCCCGGUGUAGCGGUGAAAUGCGCAGAUAUCGGGAGGAACACCAGUGGCGAAGGCGGUUGCCUGGGGCUUUGCUGACGCUGAGGCGCGAAAGCGUGGGGAGCGAGUCCGG
rnacentral:rRNA from 1 species